UUGUCACUUGUUCUCUGUUAGAAUGAGGCCAAGGGAUAAUUCUAUCAAUGAGCUCAGCUUCCCGGCAUGUCAGAUGACCAGUGGUCUGGCCUACUCCUCUCUCUUUCCAGCUGUCUCCAAGUCACCACCAGUCCUUCCAUGGCUAUUCAUCUAGAAAACAUCCAAAAUUAGCAUAAUGCUUCUUACUUCCUUUCUUCAUGUUCUGCACGCAGUGCUAGUCGUGACUUACGGGAGCUGCAGAUGGAAGAAGGGAGAUGAAUGCAAGAAGCUGAAAAUAUUUUUUGUACUGCAAGAUCAGCAACCUGCGGCGUGGAGAGCCCAACUAGAGCUGGUUAUAAUUACCUGCCUGACCAGAAACGUUACCUAUUGACUUUGAAUACCUUCAGGCCACAUUUGGCUAAGCAUGGGACUCCCGUUUCCAGUGCGGAGCCAGACCUCUCCAGUAAUUGGCCAGUUUUGUCCUGGCCAGGAUAUCCUGCAGACUCAUUUGCUGAACUAAAACCUGCUGCCAGUUCAGAUACAUUCAAGCCAAAAUUGAGAAAAUACCUCGCAUGGGCCGUGGUUGACAGGGAUGUCUGCUGAAGAGGAUACAUUCAAAACCAGCAACUCCUCCUUCCCUCCACAAGAGAGCACCUUUCUGAUGGGGGCAGCUUAUCUCUAAAUUCAAACACAUGCAAAAGCUUUGCAUUCAAACACAGCCCACCAACUGAGUAACCUGACAGAGAGAAAGAGUAGACAAGCUAUCAACCAUCUUGAAAACACCCUGGAGACCUCAUAAAACACCUGGCUCCCGAGUGCAUCAUGCUUUUCUCUUGAAGGUUCAGACUCUAUUCUACCUGAGUGCAAACUUUUUAGCACCACCUGAUAAACUUUCGCAAUGCCUGAAAAACAGUGUUUUGUGAUGGGAUCAGCAAACCUACAACCUAGACUAAGGUGAGUGAUUUGAGGUUCUCAUCUCCACCUCAAAUUCUCACUGGUGACUUUUCCUGUUGCAAAUAAAA